GAUGAACGCUGGCGGCGUGCCUAAUACAUGCAAGUCGAGCGAACAGACGAGGAGCUUGCUCCUCUGACGUUAGCGGCGGACGGGUGAGUAACACGUGGAUAACCUACCUAUAAGACUGGGAUAACUUCGGGAAACCGGAGCUAAUACCGGAUAAUAUAUUGAACCGCAUGGUUCAAUAGUGAAAGACGGUUUUGCUGUCACUUAUAGAUGGAUCCGCGCCGUAUUAGCUAGUUGGUAAGGUAACGGCUUACCAAGGCAACGAUGCGUAGCCGACCUGAGAGGGUGAUCGGCCACACUGGAACUGAGACACGGUCCAGACUCCUACGGGAGGCAGCAGUAGGGAAUCUUCCGCAAUGGGCGAAAGCUUGACGGAGCAACGCCGCGUGAGUGAUGAAGGUCCUCGGAUCGUAAAACUCUGUUAUUAGGGAAGAACAAAUGUGUAAGUAACUAUGCACGUCUUGACGGUACCUAAUCAGAAAGCCACGGCUAACUACGUG
rnacentral:rRNA from 1 species